GCAUGUAUCCAAAAUUGAAAUCUAAAAUUCAGCAAGUAUACAUCAUAUCUAUGUAUAAUUAAAUCAUAUCUAAUUAAUAUUUAGAUCACAUCUAAAUAUUAAUUGAGAUCAAAAUCUCAUACCUGAGCAUGGAUAGUAGAUCACUACAUCUGAAAUCCGUGAUACUUGAUUCUUCAUGAUGCUUGACAGUCGUACAUACAUCCGACCUCUACGGAUAUCCACA
rnacentral:lncRNA from 1 species